CAAGCUGUCACUUAGCAUGGUAGAGGGCUACCUUUGGGACGUAGAGCCGGAGGUUCGAAUCCUCUCACCCCGACCA
rnacentral:tRNA from 1 species